rnacentral:rRNA from 1 species
CUUAAAUUGAAGAGUUUGAUCAUGGCUCAGAUUGAACGCUGGCGGCAGGCCUAACACAUGCAAGUCGAGCGGAAACGAGUUAUCUGAACCUUCGGGGAACGAUAACGGCGUCGAGCGGCGGACGGGUGAGUAAUGCCUAGGAAAUUGCCCUGAUGUGGGGGAUAACCAUUGGAAACGAUGGCU